rnacentral:tRNA from 2 species
GGUCCCGUAGUUCAACAGGAUAGAAUGUCAGAUUCCGGUUCUGACGAUGGGGGUUCGAGUCCUCCCGGGAUCA